rnacentral:lncRNA from 1 species
UGUAUGACUCCUUUCCAGAUCUUUCAGGAGCACCCCCUCCAUGGCUGCUCAGUCUCCAACGACUCAGAGGCAGACAGCAGCAGUAACAAUAUGACUUGGGCAGCAACCACACUGGCACCAGACAACAGCAGUGCGUCUGGGCAGGAGAGGCCCCGGGGCCAGCCUAACACUGCCUUGCUAUCACUGGUGCUGAUGGCCGGCACUUUCUUCAUCGCCUUCUUCCUGCGCAAAUUCAAGAACAGCCGGUUCUUCCCUGGCCGGGUAUGUACGUUUGCAGACUGGAGGAGCUGAAGACAGGAAGGGGAUGGCUUGAAGUACCGGGAAAUUGCAUGGCCUAUCCCAGGCCUCUGAGCAUGGUGCUUGCCCUCUUAGAUCCGGCGGGUAAUUGGGGACUUUGGGGUGCCCAUCGCGAUCCUCAUCAUGGUGCUUGUGGAUUACAGUAUUGAGGAUACCUACACCCAGGUAAGGCAUUGUACAAGUGGCAGAACAGUGCUGCUGCCCCGGGCUUUCUAACCCUCGGUGCUGGUGUUCCAUGGAGCACCCUCCAUGGAACAGCACACUGUCUCUGCCUUGCAGAAGCUAAGUGUGCCCAGUGGGUUCUCAGUGACAGCCCCAGACAAGCGGGGCUGGGUCAUCAACCCCCUUGGAGAGAAGACUCCUUUCCCUGUGUGGAUGAUGGUGGCCAGCCUGUUGC